rnacentral:rRNA from 1 species
GCAAUCCAGGUCGGUUUCUAUCUAUGUUAUAACCCUUCCUAGUACGAAAGGACCGGAAGGAGUAAGGCCUCUAUUAAAAACAUGCCUUAUCCCCAUCCGAUGCCCCCAACUAAAUCGGCAAAGGGAAAUACCGCCAAGUCAAAGAUA